AUUGAACGCUGGCGGCAGGCCUAACACAUGCAAGUCGAACGGUAACAGGAAACAGCUUGCUGUUUCGCUGACGAGUGGCGGACGGGUGAGUAAUGUCUGGGAAACUGCCUGAUGGAGGGGGAUAACUACUGGAAACGGUAGCUAAUACCGCAUAACGUCGCAAGACCAAAGAGGGGGACCUUCGGGCCUCUUGCCAUCGGAUGUGCCCAGAUGGGAUUCGCUAGUAGGUGGGGUAACGGCUCACCUAGGCGACGAUCCCUAGCUGGUCUGAGAGGAUGACCAGCCACACUGGAACUGAGACACGGUCCAGACUCCUACGGGAGGCAGCAGUGGGGAAUAUUGCACAAUGGGCGCAAGCCUGAUGCAGCCAUGCCGCGUGUAUGAAGAAGGCCUUCGGGUUGUAAAGUACUUUCAGCGGGGAGGAAGGGAGUAAAGUUAAUACCUUUACUCAUUGACGUUACCCGCAGAAGAAGCACCGGCUAACUCCGUG
rnacentral:rRNA from 1 species